rnacentral:tRNA from 1 species
GCGAGAGUGGUGGAACGGCAGACACGCACGGUUCAGGUCCGUGUGCCCGAAAGGGCGUGGGGGUUCAAAUCCCCCCUCUCGCACCA